CUUCGGCCCGAGUUGUAAUUUGCAGAGGAUGUUUAUGGUGCGGUACCUUCCGAGUUCCCUGGAACGGGACGCCACAGAGGGUGAGAGCCCCGUCUGGUUGGAUACCAAACCUGUGUUAAACUCCUUCAACGAGUCGAGUAGUUUGGGAAUGCUGCUCUAAAUGGGAGGUAAAUCUCUUCUAAAGCUAAAUACCGGCCAGAGACCGAUAGCGCACAAGUAGAGUGAUCGAAAGAUGAAAAGCACCUUGAAAAGGGGGUUAAACAGUACGUGAAAUUGUUAAAAGGGAAGCGUUUAUGACCAGACUUGUGUCGUGUGGCUCAUCCGAGGUUCUCCCCGGUGCACUCCACACGGCUCAGGCCAACAUCGGUUCUCGUUGGGGGAUAAGAACAGCAGGAACGUGGCCCUCUUCGGAGGGUGUUAUAGCCUGCUGUACGAUACCCUGAUGGGGACCGAGGACCGCGCUUCGGCUAGGAUGUUGGCGUAAUGGUCAUUAGCGACCCGUCUUGAAACACGGACCAAGGAGUCGUCCAUUAGAGCGAGCGUUUGGGUGUAAAACCCGCACGCGUAAUGAAAGUGAAAUUAGGUGAGAGCUUCGGCGCAUCAUCGACCGAUCCUGAAGUUUACGGAUGGAUUUGAGUAAGAGUUUUAACGGACGGACCCGAAAGACAGUGAACUAUGCUUGAAUAGGGUGAAGCCAGAGGAAACUCUGGUGGAGGCUCGCAGCGGUUCUGACGUGCAAAUCGAUCGUCAAAUUUGAGCAUGGGGGCGAAAGACUAAUCGAAC
rnacentral:rRNA from 1 species